GACGAACGCUGGCGGCGUGCUUAACACAUGCAAGUCGAACGAUGAAGCCUAGCUUGCUAGGUGGAUUAGUGGCGAACGGGUGAGUAAUACGUGAGUAACCUACCUUUAACUCUGGGAUAAGCCUGGGAAACUGGGUCUAAUACCGGAUACGACCAAUCUCCGCACGGGGUGUUGGUGGAAAGCGUUAUGUAGUGGUUAUAGAUGGGCUCACGGCCUAUCAGCUUGUUGGUGAGGUAACGGCUCACCAAGGCGACGACGGGUAGCCGGCCUGAGAGGGUGACCGGCCACACUGGGACUGAGACACGGCCCAGACUCCUACGGGAGGCAGCAGUGGGGAAUAUUGCACAAUGGGCGCAAGCCUGAUGCAGCGACGCCGCGUGAGGGAUGACGGCCUUCGGGUCGUAAACCUCUGUUAGCAGGGAAGAAGAGAGAUUGACGGUACCUGCAGAGAAAGCGCCGGCUAACUACGUGCCAGCAGCCGCGGUAAUACGUAGGGCGCGAGCGUUGUCCGGAAUUAUUGGGCGUAAAGAGCUUGUAGGCGGUUUGUCGCGUCUGCUGUGAAGGCCGGGGCUUAACUCCGUGUAUUGCAGUGGGUACGGGCAGACUAGAGUGCAGUAGGGGAGACUGGAAUUCCUGGUGUAGCGGUGGAAUGCGCAGAUAUCAGGAGGAACACCGAUGGCGAAGGCAGGUCUCUGGGCUGUAACUGACGCUGAGAAGCGAAAGCAUGGGGAGCGAACAGGAUUAGAUACCCUGGUAGUCCAUGCCGUAAACGUUGGGCACUAGGUGUGGGGGACAUUCCACGUUUUCCGCGCCGUAGCUAACGCAUUAAGUGCCCCGCCUGGGGAGUACGGCCGCAAGGCUAAAACUCAAAGAAAUUGACGGGGGCCCGCACAAGCGGCGGAGCAUGCGGAUUAAUUCGAUGCAACGCGAAGAACCUUACCAAGGCUUGACAUAUACUGGACCGCAUCAGAGAUGGUGUUUCCCUUCGGGGCUGGUAUACAGGUGGUGCAUGGUUGUCGUCAGCUCGUGUCGUGAGAUGUUGGGUUAAGUCCCGCAACGAGCGCAACCCUCGUUCUAUGUUGCCAGCACGUUAUGGUGGGGACUCAUAGGAGACUGCCGGGGUCAACUCGGAGGAAGGUGGGGAUGACGUCAAAUCAUCAUGCCCCUUAUGUCUUGGGCUUCACGCAUGCUACAAUGGCCGGUACAGAGGGUUGCGAUACUGUGAGGUGGAGCUAAUCCCUAAAAGCCGGUCUCAGUUCGGAUUGGGGUCUGCAACUCGACCCCAUGAAGUCGGAGUCGCUAGUAAUCGCAGAUCAGCAACGCUGCGGUGAAUACGUUCCCGGGCCU
rnacentral:rRNA from 1 species